rnacentral:rRNA from 1 species
AGUGAACGCUGGCGGUAGGCCUAACACAUGCAAGUCGAACGGCAGCACAGUAAGAGCUUGCUCUUACGGGUGGCGAGUGGCGGACGGGUGAGGAAUACAUCGGAAUCUACUUUUUCGUAGGGGAUAACGUAGGGAAACUUACGCUAAUACCGCAUACGACCUACGGGUGAAAGCAGGGGAUCUUCGGACCUUGCGCGAUUGAAUGAGCCGAUGUCGGAUUAGCUAGUUGGCGGGGUAAAGGCCCACCAAGGCGACGAUCCGUAGCUGGUCUGAGAGGAUGAUCAGCCACACUGGAACUGAGACACAGUCCAGACUCCUACGGGAGGCAGCAGUGGGGAAUAUUGGACAAUGGGCGCAAGCCUGAUCCAGCCAUACCGCGUGGGUGAAGAAGGCCUUCGGGUUGUAAAGCCCUUUUGUUGGGAAAGAAAAGCAGCAGGUUAAUACCCCGCUGUUCUGACGGUACCCAAAGAAUAAGCACCGGCUAACUUCGUG